AGACCAGGCUGUUAGUGUGUAUUUUUUGCAAUAUUUUGGAGAGAAUUUUAAUAGCAUUAAGGUGUGGGUAAAGGUAUAAGCACCUGGGAGAGAACGUGUUUUUUGUAUUUCUGAAGUGUGUGCGUGUGUGUGUUUGUCUUCACUGUUUUUCAGAGGGGUAUGAUUACUCACGUAGCUCUGCGGCGAGCUUCCAUUCUCUAUGCAGACAAGAACGUGCCUGUAUCACUCUGGCGGUGCCUUCCUUUACCUCUGCCGUUGCCAGCGUGGUUCUGCCUGAGAGACAGAGGAGAAAAACAGAGUGACGUGGAGAGAAAAAAAGAUGGAGAAACAGUAAAGAGGUUCAAGUCUGCUGGAUGUUGGCGAUGGUGUCUGCAUCAGUGAAGGACACCUCAAUAACAACUCCAUUGAUAUCUACAGUACACCUACUGCUGCACCAGAGAUGAAGAGACAGAGAUGUCAGGACCUUUACAUGGCAAUUUGCUUGGUAUGCACAUGCACUUGAGUCAGCUUCAUUCUCCGCUUUGAUUUGACACCAAUGCAUCAUCCAUUUAAUGAUAUUAAGUAUUUUCCAUUAGUUUUAAUUGUGUCAUGUUUUGUUUCGGCAUGUUGUUUCUUAAGCUGGACAGCCCACCUUCUUCAAAGAGCCCUGCCCUGCCAUCAUGGCGGUCACUCUGAUUGGCACCAAUGACGGCAACUCUCGAAUGGUGAGGUUACCAUGGCAACAGGGGGGUCCCUAGGGGCAAAAGCGGUACUGAAACGAAAAAUGAGUCAUCUGUUGAUUAGGUUAGGAAGUGCAUUUUAACCUUUUGCCAGUUCUUUGCCUGCUUUCAUUUGUAAGCAAAACGACAGCGGAAGCUGAAGAGCUUUAGAUUGUGUUUACCAUUGAUCAGUGAGUUGAUGGACCGUUUUUAGUUCCUUGGUCUUGACAGUCAGUUAUAUUUAACACAUUCUGUGAGCUUGUUAAUUAACACACAGUCGUGUAUCUGCCCUACUGUGCAGCCUGUAUGUGAACAGCUACAGUUAACUGUGCAUGUGUGUGUGUGUGGAGUGUGUAUUCACCUAAAGGAAGACUCACCUCUGAUUUAGCUCCUGUUUGACUCCAGUUAGAGCUCAGACAGUGUGUGAUAUUUACUGAAGCGCUUGGGUUGACCUAGGUGAUGCCGGGUCGGUGGUGUGUGUGUGCCGGUGUUAAUUGGGGGUGAAGUGGCAGUGUGAGAGGAAAAGGGAGGUGUUGAUGUGUGGACGUGUGUGGUGGUGAAAGCAAGCCACAGGUGACAUGACGCUUCUGUGACUGGAGAUGUACAUCCAGUUCAAUCCACGGUCUCGCCACAAUUACUGUUUUCUGUUCUGUUAUCUCUCUUUCUCUCAGUCUCUCUCACUGUCUUUUACACCUAUUCAGGCUUUCAAAGCGCUAAAGUGGGUGUUUGUGUUGUUCAGGUGACUGCCCAUAACAGCCAGUGUCCUGGCACUACUUCUGGAGGUCAAAUAGAUACAUAGCCAUUGACAUGUCUAUUUGUUUUUGGGUGAUCUGAUCACUCGGAGCAAAACAUUUGCGGAAACUGGGUGUGAUUACACAUUGAAAGGCAUCUGAUCUGAUAGACACAGAUCUGAUAAUUCAUCCAAAAAUGACAAUUCUGACAUGCUUUACUGGCAUGUGUGAAUGUGCAGUGUGAGUAUGUGUAUGUAUUUACAAGUAGUACUUUUAUUCAGUCAGGACGUAUUAAACUUAUCAAAAGUGACACUAAAGACAUUUAUAAUGUUACAAAAGAUUUCUAUUUCAAAUAAAUCCUGUUCUUUUGAACUUUUUUAUUCA
ensembl:lncRNA